rfam:Ornithorhynchus anatinus chromosome X1, whole genome shotgun sequence.
GCCCUCUCAGGGCCGCACCUGGAGACUUUCCAGUAAUCUACCCGACUCGACUAGGGGAGGGAGAGUCAAGCAGAGGCCUGUCCAUUCCAUUCCUAGCUUGGGCAGUGGCUAGUGAGUGGAAGGCCAUCUGCUACAAGU